ensembl:lncRNA
CUAAUGGCUCCACCUAAAAUAGCUAUCUGGGCAAGUAUCAUGUGCUACCAUGAAUUCCAGGAUCUCUAACCCAUACCUGAUUUUUUGGGGGUGUCUAAUUGACCCCGGCACCUCCAUGCAUCAUGGAACACUGUGAACAGCUCUCCCUUGGGUUUUAUUUUAAAUUACUUUAGGCAAGCAAAAUCUGACUCCAGGUUACACCUUUCACUGCUUUUUUUUCAGGUUGAUGGAGUACAUGCUUUUGUACAUAGUGAGUGAGGAGAAAAAUAAUAAUCAAACAGAGAGACAAAAUGCUCAAGGAAGUGUCUCAUUUGUGGAAUUCAAUGUUUCCCUUGACUCAGUGCUUUUGCAGACCUCAGGCGUCCAACGGACUGGGAGUCAUCUUCAAAAGUGGUGUUGUUACUUAGAAGCUUAACACCUUUGAAACAAGGAGAGAAGACCCAUAUUCAGACAUCAACUAGCUAUGCAUUCACCCUAGGAUGAAUAUAUAUUUAACUGCAAAAAAAAUUAUGCAAGAGCUGGCAAAGAGAUAAGACUGCAUAAAAAGCCAAUAUGAUUUUGGCUGUUCCCUCUGAGGAGUCAUAUCCUAAACCAAGAAGAUUAUAGUUCCUCUGUAGUUCGGAUGUGAUGGUAGUUAGAAUAUUAUAGUAGCUGCAGCUCAGUCCAUAGAAAGUCAGAGAUUAACUAGGAAGAAUUUAAAAACAGGUAUCAGUAAUUAUCAAAAACUGGAGGCUGGUUUAUAAAGAUGAAAGAAAUAACAAUGUUUAAGUUGGCUGAAUGUCAGGUAAGAUGCAUGUCACUAGUUUGCUAAUAUUUCAAGAGACUGAACAUCAAAGCAGUCAAGGAAAUAUUUAGUUGAAUAAUAGUAUUCUUGGAAGAAACUGGGGUGGAAUUGAGGAAAAUAAAAACCAUACUAGAUAUAAGGGGAGGAAUCCUACUGCUGAGUCUAUUACAUUAAAGAAUAAUCACAGUUUCUGAGGAAGAAUAUUAUACACUUGUAAAGUCCCAAUUGACAUUGGACAAUGCAUGGAAAAUGUACAUUAGGCAGAAGUUUUAGUACUGUGUUGCAACUGAGAAAUAUAUGAAUCCUUCUAUUUCUUUUACUGGGAGGAAGUGAGAAAAAUCUGGUGACUGUUUUAGGGUGCUUUUCUAAAUGAAAUUAAAGACAACAAGGAUUUAAAAAUCAUUCUGUGGCAGUGCAUGAGGAAUUGGUAAUAUGUCAUAUUUGAGUGAUGCACUUACAUCCAAAGGUCCUCAGGGCUCCAAUGCUGCAGGAGAAUUCAGUGAGAGAAACUGUGUCCUAACUCAGUCAUAGAUAAAGAACAGUGAAUUUUCCUAAACUGCGUUGUCAUCUAAAUAUGUUGAAGAUCAUGUAAUUACAUCAUUUAGGGUAUUUGGGAAAGUUUUCUGUUCUGUAACAGUUUUUCAGGGGAGUACUGUCUUCACUGUCUCCACUAGAAAAAAGAAAGAAAGUGAUGAAUGUUUUCUAUGAUUUUAUGGCACCAUAUAAAUAUCAGAUGUGUUCAUAGUUUUUAAUCUUUUCCUAGAGGCAAACUGCCUCUGUUUCCCUUCUGUUCUCUUAUGAUCAUGCCACCCAGACUUUUCCCUUUCCCUGUGCAAAUCAAAAUCAAUUAAAAAUAUCCCCACAGGACUCAAUUUUCAGAGAACCUACAUAUCCACACCUCUAAUGGAAGUCAAUGAUAGCUGCAGGCAGGUGGCAUCUCUGAAACUUAGGCUCUACAGAGCUGAGUAAAGAAAAACAUAUGGAUUUUUUAGGUAAUAUACCAUGGGAGAAAUCUCUAAAUAGGCCCUGAAUAAUGAAGCUACAUGUUUUAUACUAUAGUCCAACUCAGAAUCACUAGGCCAUCUCACCACAGGGGAAAAAGAGUAUAUUGAGAGUUAUUGAACAUUGCCAAUUUUUGCUGUGGAUCAGCUUGAAGUUAUUUAGCACAGAUGUUUCUGUAAUUGUGACACACUGGGAAAAUCCACAUGCUCAAUAGCCCUCAAACUUGCACUUCCAUCUGUGCAGUAUGAUGGUCUACAGUUACUGCACACAGCUGCAAUUUAAAGCACACAGAGUUCUGUCUGGCUUAAGAUCUGCUGAAAGAUUUUUCUUAGCACCAUCUGCACUUUUUAUCUACCUGUCUCCCUAUGGUUCUGUGUUUAGAUGCAGUACAAUUAUAAGACAGUAAAAUAUAAGCCUACUGAAAAUAAGAAUGUGUAACGAACUGUACAAAACGUAGCAGUGUGGUUAGAAACCUCUCACGAUGUGAAAUGAUGAUAGGAAUUUAACAGUAAACUGUGAAAUCCAUCAGUUUUUCUAUUUAUAUUCUCAAGUCAGUUUUGAGGCGUAUUAGUAACAACAGAAAGAUAGGAUUCUUAUACUAGAAAUCGAGCAUGAUUUGACCCACAGCAGUGAAAAUGAUGCCUCUGGAAACUGCUUCCUCAUCCUAAUACCUUCUUAGACUUUGAUCACAUUCCAAAAAGUACAGGGAAAAAACUCCACCUCUUCUGAUUUAACAAACAUUUUGGAAUCACAACAGUGUGUACCAAUCUAGAAAAUUAGAGAGGAAGACUUCUACUACCUUUGAAAUUUAAAUAGGCUUAGGUGUUAAUUAUUCAUAACUUAUUUGUUCGGUUGAGGCUCAGGAUAUAAAGAAAAAAGAAGGUAAUCUUUCAAAAUUUAGGCAUAUGCAGCUCAGUGUGGAGAGAAGGAAGCUGUUGUUGGUAUUAACCAGGCAGGGAGAAAAGUUUUGCUGUCAUACUGUUUUUUCCCUAUGUUGCUGCAGCUGUGGGUCCAUUAUGUAUCGGAAAUUAAGGUGAAAGUGGGACUGUUACUGCAGCCCUUGACUUUACAGCCCCAGUAGGAGGGUGGACUUGUCAUUUAACUUUUUGUCUGCAGUGAGCUGCUGCUUUUGUUCUGCAACCCUUUCUUGCAGUAUCCUGAUCAAGUCACUUCCACAGAUGGUUGUUGCACUGGGAAGCGUAGCAAUUCCUGCAAGAGGACACUGUAAAAUGUUUCCCAUCAUGAAGCUGGGCUAAAUAAUGCAAGAGAAGUUCUGUGUUCUCACAUUUAACAGGAACUCUUCAGACCUUGAGAGAUUAAAGAAAACCAUCUCUCUUCUAAACCAAACUGUAAUCUCAUAUGUUUGUCUGGAAUGCUCAUUGAAUUCAGUCCUGUAGAAACUUGGAAUAUUAAUGACAGAGUUUUGACUUUUGCUAGGAAUAUCUUGGGAUCUGGAACUGUCAUAACCUCUUUUUUGCAUCUUCCUUUUUCUCUUCUCGACUUCUGCUCUGGGAGCUCAACUUCAUCAUGUUCUGAAAGAAAGAGCUAACUGUACAUCAGUGUUGCAG